rnacentral:lncRNA from 1 species
CAAAGUAAGAAAGAUGAAAAUCUAGUGACCGGUGAAAAACAAGAGGUCUCUGUUUCUGUUGGGAAGAUCAGAGAGCUGAUUUUGGAUGGAUCUUCUCAGUUAAUCCAAGAAGGUCUCAGAAGUGGUUUCCUUUUCCCACUUGUUGAAAAACAUGAUGGCAGUAGUGGACGCAUCACUUUACCGCUUGAUGCCUGCAAUUUGUCAGAGUUAUGCGAGAUGGCAAAGCAUUUGCCUUCCUUGAAUGACAUGGAGCUUCAAACGCUACAGUUGAUGGGAGAUGAUGUGUUUGUUACAGAGCUGGACUUAUCUUCACGGAUCAUUGAAAACAACUCUAGCUUUUCCAAAAUGAUCACUUUAAUGGGACAGAGAUAUCUGCUGCCACCAAAAAGCAGCUUUCUUUUGUCUGACAUUUCUUGUAUGCAGCCACUUCUUAACUGUAGUAAGACAUUCGAUGUGAUUGUGAUUGAUCCACCAUGGGAGAACAAAUCGGUUAAAAGAAGUAACAGGUACAAUAGUUUAUCCCCACAGCAGAUAAAGAGAAUGCCUGUCCCUAAGCUGGCUGCUCCUGACUGUCUUGUCGUUACUUGGGUGACCAACAGGCAGAAGCAUCUGUGCUUUGUGAAGGAGGAACUGUACCCUUCAUGGUCUGUGGAAGUCAUUGC